GCGUAGGCAGUUUUUUAAGCGUGCUGUGAAAUGUACCGGCUCAACCGGUGAUGUGCAGCGCGAACUGGGAAUCUUGAGUACGCAGUAAGCAGGCGGAAUUCGUGGUGUAGCGGUGAAAUGCUUAGAUAUCACGAAGAACUCCGAUUGCGUAGGCAGCUUGCUGUAGCGUAACUGACGCUGAAGCUCGAAAGUGCGGGUAUCGAACAGGAUUAGAUACCCUGGUAGUCCGCACGGUAAACGAUGGAUGCCCGCUGUCGGCCUUUUUUGGUCGGUGGCCAAGCGAAAGCGUUAAGCAUCCCACCUGGGGAGUACGCCGGCAACGGUGAAACUCAAAGGAAUUGACGGGGGCCCGCACAAGCGGAGGAACAUGUGGUUUAAUUCGAUGAUACGCGAGGAACCUUACCCGGGCUUGAACUGCCAUUGACUUGAAUAGAGAUAUUCAUUCCCUUCGGGGCAUUGGUGGAGGUGCUGCAUGGUUGUCGUCAGCUCGUGCCGUGAGGUGUCGGCUUAAGUGCCAUAACGAGCGCAACCCCUUUUUUCAGUUGCCAUCGGUUAAAGCCGGGCACUCUGUGAAUACUGCCGCCGUAAGGUGUGAGGAAGGUGGGGAUGACGUCAAAUCAGCACGGCCCUUACGUCCGGGGCUACACACGUGUUACAAUGGCGCGUACAGCGAGUCGGCCGUAUGUAAAUGCGGUCCAAUCCUUAAAACGCGCCUCAGUUCGGACUGGGGUCUGCAACCCGACCCCACGAAGCUGGAUUCGCUAGUAAUCGCGCAUCAGCCAUGGCGCGGUGAAUACGUUCCCGGGCCUUAUACA
rnacentral:rRNA from 1 species